rnacentral:rRNA from 1 species
UACGGAGGGUGCAAGCGUUAUCCGGAUUCACUGGGUUUAAAGGGCGCGUAGGUGGCGCCAUAAGUCAGGUGUGAAAUCUCGGGGCUCAACCCCGAAACUGCAUUUGAUACUGUGGUGCUCGAGUACUGGAGAGGAGAUUGGAAUUUACGGUGUAGCAGUGAAAUGCGUAGAUAUCGUAAGGAAGACCAGUGGCGAAGGCGAAUCUCUGGACAGUUACUGACACUGAGGCACGAAGGCCAGGGGAGCAAACGGG